UUUCCAUCAAUUCCACGUACCCUCCUCAAUUAUACACUCUAGGCUUCUCUCUCCACCAGACCCCACAACACGUUCAUCAUUACCCCCUCUCCAGCGCUCUUCACACCGCCAUCGCCACGCUCAUCGCCUUUCUCCUAUUCACCAUGUUCCUUGCCGACACGCUGUCCAGUGGCAUCAUCCCGAAAACCAGCACGCCACUUCUUUCUCCCUUCUUCCCUCCCACGUCGUACUCCUUCUCUUCCGCCACCUCCGUCGCAAACGCCUUAUACGCCGUCGUCGCCGCUCCGGCCAAACUACUGUCGACACCCAGUCCGCACAAAACGCGUUUUCUCUGUCACCCUUCAAACCUGCAGAGGAGAAAAACCCCCAAAUCAAGGUCGACCGUCAACCUUCGCCGUUGCCACUGGAGCGCAGUGUGUUCGUCUCCAUCCUCACGUCUCAAAACCUGCGAGGCAAAACCUGAAACGCGAACACCAAAUACGGGAUCGAGAAUUCCAAGCUAUCACCUCCCCAUAUUUAGAUCGGAAACCACCGCGAUUUGCCACCAACACCACUGCAUAACCUGGAGCCACCUCCUUCCUCCCGCACCCUACGUCAUCAAUGCAACAUUAGUGCAAGAAGUCACCUCUCGCACCUGCAACAGAGGUUAAGGCCAUUUCGGAGUGGAAGCAACAUGAGGGUCCUUGGCUUUUCAGAAAGUCCCUGCAACCAUUGGAUUGAUUUCGUUCAAAGGAGAGAGGGUUGCUGUCCAUCCCUGCUUCCUUCUUUCUUUGAUAAUAUAUCCUUUUUUUUAUUAAAGUUUAAGAAAAAAGUAAUUAUCUUUCCCAGGGGAGAAAAAACUGUGAGGCUUGAAUUUCAACUUUAGGAACUCUCCUUUGGAGGCCACAUGCUUCAUCGACGAGCAGAAACAAUUUCUUGAGACCAGCAAUAAGAAGACACGCUCAAGUCAGACAUGUUUCACAGAGAGGUCAAUAUUUUUAUUAGGAUAGAUUCAGAUCAUCGUACCUGGACAUCAUUUGUAUACUUAUAAGGCUUGUGACAACCAACUCCAUUGAUUAGUCAUUAGUGUAAUAUAUUUUAGGUAAUCAAACCCAAUAAUUGAUCAUUAAUACCA